UGUUUGGACAAUGCCCUCAGGGACAGGGUGGGAUUCUUGGGGUGUCUGGGCAGGAGUUGGACUCAAUCCUGGUGGGUCCCUUCCAGCUCAGGGUGUUCUGUGACUCAUUUAUCUUGUCUGUUGGGGGAAAAAUAGAAGUGGUAAGUGAAGACAAAAAUGACCUUUUUUUUUUUUUCCUCCUAGAGAUCAUAAUUCUAUUAUGUGAACUCUUGGACAAUAAAAUUUAGAUUUAAAAGUCCUUCCCUGAAGCAGAAACCCAGCUUACCCUGGGUUAAAACCAGCAGAUUCUGAUGCCCUCACUGCUGCCUGCCUGCUUGGAUCUUCCAGGUUCCCCCGUGCUCCGUGUGUCACUCCCACCAUUCCAUUCCCUGCCUGCCGAGGGCUGGAUGAGGAUCUGGAGCCAACUGGAGCUUAAUGGGAUCUGCACCACUUUUAAAGGGGGGGCCAGAGGAGGUUGUGCCUUUGGUUUCCAGGGGAUUGCAGCUUCUCCCGUGGAUGUGGAUCCAGCAGGACCCUGUGAUGCUCGUGGAGGGUGGGAACACCUUGCUCUGGAUCUCUUGUUCUGACCAGCACAAGCAAGAACAAAGUUCUGGCUUCAAACAACUGGUAAUCAAAUGGCACAAAGCCUGGUUUAUACAAAGAAAAUCGAGAAACUGAGGAGUAAAGUUAAUUCAGGGUGUUGGGCUGUGUAUUAGAUUAGGUUUGGAUUAGAUAUUAAGGAAUUCUUGG